rnacentral:rRNA from 1 species
ACGCUUCUUUUCUACCGAGUGCUUGCACUCACUUGAAAAGAGGAGUGGCGGACGGGUGAGUAACACGUGGGUAACCUGCCCAUCAGAGGGGGAUAACACUUGGAAACAGGUGCUAAUACCGCAUAAUAGUCGACACCGCAUGGUGUUGAUUUGAAAGACGCUUUCGGGUGUCACUGAUGGAUGGACCCGCGGUGCAUUAGCUAGUUGGUGAGGUAACGGCUCACCAAGGCGAUGAUGCAUAGCCGACCUGAGAGGGUGAUCGGCCACACUGGGACUGAGACACGGCCCAGACUCCUACGGGAGGCAGCAGUAGGGAAUCUUCGGCAAUGGACGAAAGUCUGACCGAGCAACGCCGCGUGAGUGAAGAAGGUUUUCGGAUCGUAAAACUCUGUUGUUAGAGAAGAAUAAGUAGGAGAGUAACUGCUCUUACCUUGACGGUAUCUAACCAGAAAGCCACGGCUAACUACGUGCCAGCAGCCGCGGUAAUACGUAGGUGGCAAGCGUUGUCCGGAUUUAUUGGGCGUAAAGCGAGCGCAGGCGGUUUCUUAAGUCUGAUGUGAAAGCCCCCGGCUCAACCGGGGAGGGUCAUUGGAAACUGGGAGACUUGAGUGCAGAAGAGGAGAGUGGAAUUCCAUGUGUAGCGGUGAAAUGCGUAGAUAUAUGGAGGAACACCAGUGGCGAAGGCGACUCUCUGGUCUGUAACUGACGCUGAGGCUCGAAAGCGUGGGGAGCAACAGGAUUAGAUACCCUGCUAGUUCACGCCGUAAACGAUGAGUGCUAAGUGUUGGAAGGGUUUCCGCCCUUCAGUGCUGCAGCAAACGCAUUAAGCACUCCGCCUGGGGG